GGAGAGGUGGCCGAGUCUGGUUGAAGGCGCUUCCCUGCUAAGGAAGUAACGGAGUAACCCUCCGUUCGAGGGUUCGAAUCCCUCUCUCUCCGCCA
rnacentral:tRNA from 1 species